UUCACUGACGCAGGAACCCACAGUGAAA
rnacentral:piRNA from 1 species